CCUGGCGGCCAUAGCGCGGUGGUCCCACCUGAUCCCAUGCCGAACUCAGAAGUGAAACGCC
rnacentral:rRNA from 1 species